GAGAGUGCUGGUUUACCAUCAUCAGGAAGAUCGGAUUGAAAUCCAAAUAUUGGAUUGCCACGUUUAACGUUACCAUAAUGAACAAAGGAGUGCGAAUGGUCCGCUGACACAAUAAUUAAUGUAUCACCUGAUUGAUAACAGAAUUGAAAAGUUUGGGGAUUAAAGCUUUCAACCUACGUUCAAAUUCUCUAAGACGAAAGACAUGUGAUUCUUCGAUUCAUCGAAAAACUUUGUCCAUCCUCAAAGUGUACAAAUUGUAAAAGUUCCUGGCCCUCAGACAAAAUAUGCUCAACCGUGUUGCGACUUAACGACUUAAGAGAAGCGUUGCUUACAACCAUAACUUGUUUAAUGCGAGCAAGCAAAACAGAAAUUUUGCUGAGUUUCUCAACUUUUCAUACUGGUUAUGUGAAUUUGAAAGUUGAACGUUUUGCUAUGAAACAAAUUGAUCAAAUUAAGAAAAUGAUAUGAUAUUUCAGCACCAUUCCUUUGCAAUAACGGUAUUACGGAAAACAAAA